rnacentral:tRNA from 1 species
AAGGGAGACCUAAUUCAGGUAGGAGACGAAAAAAAAGUAGUCCCAACCAAGAAUCAAUCCCAAAAGGUCGGAACGAGGUAUGAGGCUUUCAAACUAGGUUCUGGGUUCAUAAAAGACCUGAAUCAGGAACAAGGGCUAUUAGCUCAGGUGGUUAGAGCGCACCCCUGAUAAGGGUGAGGUCCCUGGUUCGAGUCCAGGAUGGCCCACCUGCACAGGUGGCAAAAACAAGAGAAGCUCCGAAUCAGCACCUUAUCUUAUCUAUAUAUAAGAGAGAAUGCUGGCUCUGAGUAAAGAGUCCAGAGGAACCUUGAAAACUGCAUAGAGCUAGGUGAAAAAGCCAAAAAAGAAGACCGCAA